rnacentral:lncRNA from 1 species
UGAAGGCAGAGAGAAGAGGAAAGAAAUAGCCAGCUGUGCGCCAUCCCUGUCAGCACUUCUAGUGGCCUGCGGCCACACCCUCCCGAGGUACUCAGCCAGCUCUUCACUGGCAGCAGGGAAAAGCUGAGUCUCUCCAGUUCUUAGGCUCCAUAUCUAGAGGUAAAUGGCCCAGAGAUUUUUCUGAGGGCAUUCCUUAUUCUUCAUUUGAUGGCAUGAGCACCAAGAAGACAGGAGCCGAGAAACAUUACCAUUUUUGGAACAAAGUGACAAAGGAAAACAGAAAGAGACAGAAGGGCCCAUCCUUCGGGAAGAGCGCACUAGCGCGUGAGUUAGUGGCAGACCCACUCCAGGGUUCAGCGGAGACUGCAAUCCCCCGUGUUCCUGUGUCUCUGAGAUGACUGUGUCCCCAGCCCAGGGCUGUGGCCUGAUUCAACGAAGUCAACCAUCACAUCUCAAGUCCCUCCAAUCAGAGCCAUGGGUCAGGCCUCCCCAAGAGCAAGUCUCAGCAAAUACCAAGGAAAGAAGGGGAUGAUCCAGAUACCUAGACCUGCACAUUGAGGAGCUGCGCCCUGCCUGCCAGGGGUGAGUGGGCCUUUGUUGAAAGAGAAGCUACAAGGAAGGACCUUUGGCCCCAGGGUAAGCAAAUGCCAAGGGACUGCGGAAGGGUAGAUUCCUCCAGAAGCAUCAAGUGCUCAUAGCUGGGGGUUUGGGGAGGAGACUGGAUCACAGGGUGUGAUACUCAUCAGUGGAUGAGUCUGCCGAUGGGUUUACAGCUGAAAGUGAAUGUGAAUGUGAAUGUGAAUGUGAGGUGGAGCCUGAUUGGAGGAGGUGGUCACUGGGGGCGUGGCCUGGCAGGGUCUACCCCUCUCUUCCUCCCUCCUCUCUCUGCUUCCUGCUGCCUGCCAUGAGAUCUUUCUCUUCUGCAAUAUCCCCUGGCCAUGCCACCUGCCUUGGAACCAGCCAGCCAUGGACUAAAACCUCUACCAACUUCGAGCCAAAAUAAACUUUCCCUCCUUAGAGUUAUGGGUGCUGGGUAUUGCAGCUCAGGGACGAGAGAUGUAACUAAGUAGGGUGUCUCCCAACUCCUGGGUGUGCCCUUUGAAAGAGGUCACUGCUUCUGUGGUUUAUCGUACAGCGCAGGACUAGCACGGCUCCUUGCCAGAGGCGGUAUUUGACUGAUACAUUUUGUUUCCGUGAAAUGACUUAGAGGUAUACUAAAUUCACAUUUUGCCCAAAGACUGAGUAAUAAAAUGCUAAAGGGUGGUAAUGGUCACAGCUAAGGUCAGAGUAGAGUGUGACCACCUCAGGUGGAAACUGGGUUAUCUUAGCCUGUUUCCUCUGAAAGCAGUGGCUGAGGCAGAGCGUUUCGGAGAAUUAAGGGAGAACCUAGGGCCACCCUGGGGUACAAGGGUAAAGACAAGGGUACAGGUAUUCAUCUUUUAUUGCUGUGUAACAGAUGACUCCCAAACCAGCAAACAUGUGCCAUCUCGUAUAGCUUCAGGAUCAGGAGCACAGGAUGGCUCGGGGUGGGUCAUCAGGAGUUAAGGUGUCAGCUCACAAAUGUGGCCGCUGUCAGGACACCUCAGUGCCUUGGCCGAUGGGCUCUCGCUAGGGCUGCUCAUCUGCCAAGGCAGCUGGAUCCACAGUGUGAGCAAUGGAAAGUGAAUGAGACAGAGUUCUUUAGUGGCCAGGUUUUCUGUCACUGGGACGAAAUACCUGAUACUUACAACUUAAAGGAGGAGAGGUUUAUUUUGGCUCAUGGUUUCAGAAGUUUCAGUUCAUGGUCAGCUGGCUCCAAAACAAGAAGAUCAUGGCAAAAGAGUGCAGAGGAGCAAAGCUGCUCACCUCAUGGUGGCCUGGAAGCAGAGAGCAGGGGAGGAGGCAGAGAGGAAGGAGGUAAGGAGCAGAUUCAUCUUCACAGUCGUGCCCUCACGCCCCUCCCAGACAUGCCAGGAAGUGUGCUUUGCUGAUGUCCUAGGCGCCUCUCAAGCCACUCACGUUGACACUCGACAUUAACCAUAUUGUGUAUAUUUGUGUGUUAGGACUGGCAUAAAAAAUACCACAGGCUGGGAAGCUUGAACAGCAGAAACUUAUUUUCUCACAUUGCUGGGUGCUAGAAGUCCUAGAUCAAGGUUUCAGCAGGGUUGGCCUCUCUGCUCAGCUCGCAAAUGGCUACCCUCUCACUGUCCUCACAGGGUCUUUCCUCUGUGUGUGCCCAUGUCUGUGGCCAAAUUUCUUCUUCUUGUGAGGACAAUGGUCACACUGGAUUAAGUAUCACCUCAGCAGCUUCAUUUUAACUUUUUACCUUAACUGUUUUUAAGAGACCUUAUCUCUGAAAAGAGUCACAUCUUGAGACACCAGCAGUUAGGACUUCAGCCUGUGAAUUUGCAGGGACACAAUUUAGCCCAUAAGGGCAAGACAAUGCAGGAAGGAAGCCAGAGUCUUCUUACAGCUGAACCUCAAGGUGGCAUCCAAUCGUUUCCGUAGAAUUUGGUUCUCUAGAAGUGAAGCACUAAAUCUAUCCACACAUAAGAACAGGCCAAGGAACUCCACCUGUCAUGGGGUCCACCACAGAGACAGCCAAGAGGAAGGCCUCCACUGAGCUGACCACAGCUAAGCGUGACCGGCUGUGGGAUCUGUGGGCAGGGGAGGGGAGGGGAGAAUGCAUUUGCUCACGAGCUCCCAUCACCAGCUGGUCAGCGAGCCCAUCAGAGGGCAUUGCCUGCCUGGACGCUGGGUGACUCAAGCAGAGCAUACUGUGGGGAUCCCUGCAGUCAAGCAGGAAGCCCAGGCAGGAGGUGACCCGUGGGCCACCCUGAGGCUGGGCACUGUCCAGCUGCUCCUGGGUGAGGCUGGUGUGGGCCUUGUGGAGCCAGUGGCCCUGCAGAACCACAGUAAGACAGGCAAGGCCUGGGGACCAGAUGCUCAGAUUCCACCCACUAGUGACUGACAAUUGAUUGAGGUUUUCUUUUUAGCGCUGUUGGCAGUGGAAUUUCACAUGUGCGGCCUCAGAGUGCUGGCCCAGCGUGGCUCAGCACCAGCCCUAGAGUGGCCUGCAGAGUCCCUUCCACCCGAGGGGGUGGAGGAAGAAGUGGAAAGGUAUUUCCUGGUCAGCGGUGCCAACACAGGGGCCGCUGGUGCGAUGCUAGGAUGGCAUCUGGGAUCUGCUGCUCCUCUGGGAGGACACUGACCUGCGCGAGGCCUCUGCCAGCUCACAGAGCAGGUGGGUUUGUGCAAAGCCUUCUUCCGGUCUCACCCACCGGAACCACAUGGCAUGUGAGCCCUUCUCCAGCACGCUGCAGUUCCCUCUGGUUUUGCGCAUCCUUCCUGUCCAGAUUAAAGAGGAUUUAGCAAAGCCAUUUCACGUGAUUUUGCAGAUUUUUUUUCCCUUUGAGGACACAUUUUUAUUUUUGUAAUUUAACCUGACAAGAAGUGAAACAUUCUGAAUAAAACCUUGUCCCAAAAGACUUACGCCCCAGAUGGAAAAUAAAUGUCUAAAAUUUGAAUACAAUUCUUUAAGGUUAUUUAGGUAGUGUUAUAAAUACUACAAUACCAGCUAAUUGUACAAGUAUCAGCCUUUUAAUCUAAACUAAUCUGCCUUUUCCUCUCAAGUAUUAUUAUUCAAACUUGAUAAGCAUUUUUGGGCUCCAAGGAGUUUAAUUUGCUUUUAUAAUUAUUUGGCUAAACUACCGCCUUUACAAUAUCUACAUUAGCAAUACACUAUUUCCUUAUUAACUAUUUCAAGGUCUUGAAAUUGUUUUAUAUUUUAAAAUAAUAAUUUUUGUUGAUGUAACUAAUUAUGAUAGCAUUUUGCAAUAACAGCUAUUCAUUUUGCUCCAGCCGACUGGUAGAAUUUCAGUAUAAGAAUAAGAACAAUAGCCUAAGUGGAAUCUUUCUCCCACUUAUAUCUCCUUUGCUCUCUUGCAUUAAAAAGACAUGUUCAGGAGAAAGUCAUAAAUCAGUGUCACUCCCUGUUGGUGUGAGCCACAGACCCAUGAGUUGGAUGUCACCUGGAGGGUCCUGGAGUCGUGAAACACACGGACACAGGCAGGUGCUAGGGCCCAUGGGGAGCAGGAGUCAGAGACUGGUUCUUCCAAGGGCCAGCAGGUUAGGGGCCAGGUGGACAAGCCACACGGGCUGUCCCGAGGUCACCUGGUGGCCAGAGGGAACCAGGAUUCUUGCAGGCACCAUGAUGGUGAACUGGAAAAUCUGGGAGAUAAAAUUUAAAUCCCCACUCUGCCAUUUUCUGUGUGAUUUCACUAAGCUGAGUGAAACUCUCUACACUUGUGAUGGGGGAACAAUGCCCAUCUCACAGCGCUGUGAAGAGUCGAUGAGAAUACGGAAAGACAGUCGAAGCCGGACAGCAUAGCUGGGACCCUGGAGUUGGGUCAAAUCCCAGCUGUCCCCCCGGGGGUCACGGACUCGUCCAUCACGUGAUGUGAGGCUAUUCCAGGAGCCUCGGUGUCCUCAGUGCAUGAUGGGGACCUGAGCAGCACCCAGCAUGCUGGGCACGGAGUAAAGCUCAGAGCCAUCAGCUGGCAUCACACAGCGGACAGCUCCUCCCAGGGCAUCCCCUCGGCACUCAACGAGAGACCGCGAUUCUUGGCUAAGCGGGGCUGCUGGAGGAGAACAGGAAGCACACUGAGAGCAGCAGCAGGAGCUAUAAUCUGAGCUCAACUUUGUCACCAAGGAAAUUUGGCAGAGCAAACCCGACCUUUUCCCAGGGACCACUGUGAAUAAACAUACACAACACCCUCUGCAGAAACACACACACACACACACACACACACACACACACACAAACACACACACCUGGGAUGCAUGAAAGCAACAGGGGCUCUGUCCGGGUCUGUCCGCAAAGCAAUGAAACACGCAUGCCCGGAAAGCACGGGCUCCUAGCAAGAGCAGUUGUACUCCGGAUGUUUGCCACGCCCAGCGCCGAAAGUGCGGCACAACCUUGAGCUUAUGAUAACCUCGGAAGAGCAUCCGGGACAGACAGGCGUGCGUGGUUGCACUUGUUAAAUAUGUUUGUUAAGUAUUUUUGAUUCGGCCAACGGCUCUAUUUGAAGUCUGGCUCCUCUGCACUUGUUCAAGUCAGCUUCUUUUCUUUCCAACACCCUUCCCUGUCUGAAUCUCCCCUUGACAGUCUGAGGCCAAUCCCAAGGGGCUUGACACUCCCCUUCUCCGUGCCUCAGGAUGCUGCCCGAGAUGCUACGUGCAGGGGCCAGGGUGGGAGCGCUGGGAGGAGGGUAACGUGUGAGAUAGAGAAACUUCCCGCCUGGUCCUCUGCCCCAAAAGCGAUGGACCAUCUUCUAGAUUGGCAAAUAAUGAGGAAAGUUGGGUCCACUCUUCUGCAAGCAGCUGGAGUCACAGGGGCCGGCACUACAGCAAACCCUUGGUGAUCGGGUUAUGCCAAUGAGCUCCACGUGAAUUUCAAAAUCAGAGCACACAGUAUGCUCCUAUAUAAAUAAAUGCAAAUGUCUGUAC